AACGUUAUUCGGAAUCACUGGGCUUAAAGGGUGCGUAGGCUGCGCGGAAAGUUGGGUGUGAAAUCCCUCGGCUCAACCGAGGAACUGCGCCCAAAACUGCCGUGCUCGAGGGAGACAGAGGUGAGCGGAACUUAGGGUGGAGCGGUGAAAUGCGUUGAUAUCCUAAGGAACACCGGUGGCGAAAGCGGCUCACUGGGUCUCUUCUGACGCUGAGGCACGAAAGCUAGGGUAGCGAACGGG
rnacentral:rRNA from 1 species